rnacentral:tRNA from 1 species
UGGCCGCGGUGCUGCUGGCGAUCGCGGCGGCGGUGCUGCGGCCGCUGCUGGCCGCGUUCGCCGCCCGGCUCGGCUGG